CACGCAGGCGGUCUGUCAAGUCGGAUGUGAAAUCCCCGGGCUCAACCUGGGAACUGCAUUCGAAACUGGCAGGCUAGAGUCUUGUAGAGGGGGGUAGAAUUCCAGGUGUAGCGGUGAAAUGCGUAGAGAUCUGGAGGAAUACCGGUGGCGAAGGCGGCCCCCUGGACAAAGACUGACGCUCAGGUGCGAAAGCGUGGGGAGCGAACA
rnacentral:rRNA from 1 species